AGGCUCGUAGCUCAGCGAGCGCCACCUUGACAUGGUGGGGAUCGUUGGUUCGAGUCCAAUCGAGCCUA
rnacentral:tRNA from 1 species